rnacentral:rRNA from 1 species
CAAUAGCGUAUAUUAAAGUUGUUGCGGUUAAAAAGCUCGUAGUUGGAUUUCUGCCGAGGACGACCGGUCCGCCCUCUGGGUGAGUAUCUGGUUCGGCCUGGGCAUCUUCUUGGAGAACGUAUCUGCACUUGACUGUGUGGUGCGGUAUCCAGGACUUUUACUUUGAGGAAAUUAGAGUGUUUCAAGCAGGCAUUUGCUCUGAAUACAUUAGCAUGGAAUAAUGAUAUAGGACUUUGGUUCUAUUUUGUUGGUUUCUAGGACUGAAGUAAUGAUUGAUAGGGAUCGUUGGGGGUGCUAGUAUUGAGCGGCCAGAGGUGAAAUUCUUGGAUUCGCUCAAGACUAACUUAUGCGAAAGCAUUCACCAAGGAGAUCUUCUUUAAUCAAGAACGAAAGUUGGGGGAUCAAAGAUGAUUAGAUACCAU